CACGAGAAGGAAAAAAAAAAAUCUAAGGAUUACUGACCACACUGGGCACAUAUCAGACUCUCUAAAAAUGUUGUAUGAAUUGAAGGAAAUAGACACCUGAUGGAAUAAUCCUUUCGUGAGAUGCUAACAGCCUGCACGUACACAGUCAUGAAAGAGGAAAAGGGAACAAAGAGGGAAAUUGUCUCCACAUCAAAAGUACUACAUUAGCAAAAACCAGCAAGACCUAACAACCUCCUUGAAGGGGCAAUACUUUCUCUCACUCAGUGACAGGCACGAUUCGGGUGCUGAGCAUUCCUGGGUCUCCACGUCACAGAGCAGGUCAAGUGGCUUGAAGGAAGAGCAAAAUCGCUUUUCCACAGGAAGGCACUCUUUCCUGGUGACGGGCAGUGCGAACUGCCACUGGGAUUUCAGAAACCACAACUCCUCACUCAGGGCAGGCGCCCACACAGGGCUUCGGCCCGCCCCGCCCCCCGAGGAUGGACCUCGGCGCUGAGAAUUCCAGUCAGCCCCGGUAAAUUCUUCAGCAACAGUUCCCUGCCAGAUGCUGAAACUGAACAUUACGCCGCAAAACUAGCAAGUGGGCAGCUUUCACCACCACCCACUUCCAUGACUGGCACGUGCAAAAGGAGUCGGGGCAAAUUAGGCAUUUAGGAAGUGACUCUGACACCUGGAGCCGGUUACCUGGGGCCUUAAAAAAAAAAUGAAUUCUUUUCUUCAGUUAGGAAGCAGGCAUUCCCCUUUUAAAAGACCUUCCUGAAAGCACCUCUCCCAUGGGAGCCUCGCAGGUAAAUAACACCAGAGCUUCCUUAAACCAAUGCUACAGAACCAGGUGUCCAGGCUGCGCUCAGUCGCCGGCUUCUCCUCCGCAGGAGGGACCCGGGAAGUAACUCAAUCCAGCCCCACGCGGAACAAGGCUACAUCCAUGCAUUUUUAUCUUCCUACCUCAAUGAGUUGGUGUGAACCAAAAUAUCGUGUACAACUCAGGUGUGGAAAUGAAAUGUCAAGGAAAGUUCAUCUGUGCCUCAAAAUACUGUGGAGACAGCAGCCCACAUUCCAACAGGGUUGGAGAGCCACGGAGCUGCCCUCUCAUCAAAGGACUGGAGAAGACUAGUAUUCAGGGCACAGAUCCCUGGGCGAACAGGGGACGCUGAUAAUCAAACAGUCACAGAAAUUUGAAGCUUAUGUCCCUGGUCGAGCAGCUGUCCUCUAAAGUGGUGGCUCAAGAUCCAGUCUCCUUCCGUCUUGCUCCUUCUAUCCUCUGGGCCCUCCUUGUCAUCUCCACUGGACGCUCUGCAUUCAGCUAGAUGACAGUCAAAGAGAGAAGAGCGGCCAUUAGAACUAGCACCUAGAACUAAACCCCUCUCCUCAAGAUCUGUUGAUGAGGACAAGUCACAUGGUCCCUCCCACAUGCUCUGGAAGCUGAGAUCGGGGUUCCCUGGUUGGACAGCUGUUUGCCAGCAGUAACUCUUCAUCUUAGAAGAGAGUGUGAAUUUUUGGUAUAGUCAGCAAUUCCAAAACGGUAUUUUAGGAUGAUUGGGCAUUGCAGUUCUACCAUGAAAGAGAUAUUGAAAGAAAGAUUCUUGUAAGUACUUUAUUCUUUAAAACCUGAAAAACCACUUGCUCCUGGAAAGAUUUCAAGAAUUAUCAGUUGUAGGCCGGGCAUGGU